AUACGGAGGAUGCGAGCGUUAUCCGGAUUUAUUGGGUUUAAAGGGAGCGUAGGUGGGAUAUUAAGUCAGCUGUGAAAGUUUGGGGCUCAACCUUAAAAUUGCAGUUGAUACUGGUUUCCUUGAGUACGGUACAGGUGGGCGGAAUUCGUGGGGUAGCGGUGAAAUGCUUAGAUAUCACGAAGAACUCCGAUCGCGAAGGCAGCUCACUAGACUGUUACUGACACUGAUGCUCGAAAGUGUGGGUAUCAAACAGGAUUAGAUACCCUGGUAGUCCACACAGUAAACGAUGAAUACUCGCUGUUUGCGAUAUACAGUAAGCGGCCAAGCGAAAGCAUUAAGUAUUCCACCUGGGGAGUACGCCGGCAACGGUGAAACUCAAAGGAAUUGGCGGGG
rnacentral:rRNA from 1 species